rnacentral:rRNA from 1 species
UACGUAGGGGGCUAGCGUUGUCCGGAAUCAUUGGGCGUAAAGCGCGUGUAGGCGGCCCGGUAAGUCCGCUGUGAAAGUCGGGGGCUCAACCCUCGAAAGCCGGUGGAUACUGUCGGGCUCGAGUGCGGAAGAGGCGAGUGGAAUUCCUGGUGUAGCGGUGAAAUGCGUAGAUAUCGGGAGGAACACCAGUGGCGAAGGCGACUUCCUGGCCUGUUCUUGACGCUGAGGCGCGAAAGCUAGGGGAGCAAACGGG